rnacentral:rRNA from 1 species
CCAGACUCCUACGGGAGGCAGCAGUGAGGAAUAUUGGUCAAUGGGCGGGAGCCUGAACCAGCCAAGUCGCGUGAGGGAUGACGGCCCUAUGGGUUGUAAACCUCUUUUGCCGGGGAGCAAAGAGCGGGACGCGUCCCGCCUCGAGAGUACCCGGAGAAAAAGCAUCGGCUAACUCCGUGCCAGCAGCCGCGGUAAUACGGAGGAUGCGAGCGUUAUCCGGAUUUAUUGGGUUUAAAGGGUGCGUAGGCGGGCUUUUAAGUCAGCGGUAAAAAUUCGGGGCUCAACCCCGUCCGGCCGUUGAAACUGGGGGCCUUGAGUGGGCGAGAAGAAGGCGGAAUGCGUGGUGUAGCGGUGAAAUGCAUAGAUAUCACGCAGAACUCCGAUUGCGAAGGCAGCAUACCGGCGCCCAACUGACGCUGAAGCACGAAAGCGUGGGUAUCGAACAGGAUUAGAUACCCGUGUA